GCUUUAGGGGCUGCUUUCUGGCUUUAAAAAUAUUGCACUGGAAUAGAACCAAGGAUCAAAUAUCUGGGACAUGAUAUCUUGAGUAAAACAGGAAAUGUCUGCUACAGAGACAAACUGAAGUUUGUGUAUAUCGUGCUGAUUCAGAAGAGAAUGAAGGCAUUUGUCAAGAGAUAAUGUCAGACUAAUCAGACAUGUUCCAAUCGAUUAAUGCAUUUGGAGGAUUUCCAAAUAUUUGCUGAUCUAAGGAAGGUAUAUGAUGGGAAACAAAUCUGAGAAAAGAAGGAUGGUAGAUGCUUUCCCAUUUUGACCUGUGAUCAUUUUGGUAAGAACAUUUUACUCAAUUAAGAGGUGAUCAAGUGAUUCCAGGCCUGCUGCUAAAUAAUUCUGAGAUGAUAUUUGGAAAUAUGUAUUUCUCCUUUACCUCCUGAAGCCACAGGUAUGUGCCUGAGGUUCUCAACAAAUGGCUGAUUAUCUCUCAGAAUAUUCAGUUGUCUGGUAGCUGGCACUAAUAGCUCGGAAUAAGCCAUGUUUAACUUCAGGAUCCAUCUGGACUCUUGGCCACUAGUGGUAGGUAAUACUAGUUGCAGAAUUCAGUUUCUCUGAGCCUGUGAAAACUGCCUGAUUUUAUUUCAAAUUCAUUUUGCAUCCUGUGGGAUGGAUUUGAGAUCAGAGCAAAAUAUUCAACCUUAUUUUUGUUAAUCUUGCCCCAAAUAUGAUCCAGAUUAACCUUUCUUAACACAAAUUUGCAUUUUUUACAAAUAUCAUUUUUAAUGAAAUUAAAAUCUAUGAUUAUUAACGUUAAUAUUGUGCAAGUAGCAUUUGUAAUAUAAAGGUUUCAAAAAAGGAAUAUAAUUUUAUUUACUGGAGACUUAUUUUGCCAUUUUCAACUUGGAAGCCCAGGACUCAAACAAAAGUAUUGUUUGAAAACUGUUGGGGUUGAUUAUUACUUAUGCUGGAAGUUUCAAAAAAAAAUUUUAGAAAAAAAGAAAGCUGUUUUGUUCUAAUAAUUUGAAAUUUUAACAGUUAAAUUAUUGCUAAAUUUGCAUAAGAUUUGCUCUGUAAGACAGUACUUUUUAUAAUUGCUAACAUGUGGUUGUUUUACUUAUUUGUGCAUACUAGGUUAAUAUAUACAUAGUCAUAUUAAUAUAUGUUUGUAUGUAUACAUACUUAAAUAUAAAUUUUAUUUUUUAAAUGCAUGAUUUAAGAUUUUGUCAUAAAUUGUUAUAAAUUGUUUUGUGGAGUUUAUGCAUUUUGUAAAUUUGAUGGUGGCAGAUGGUGUACGUGUGAGUUAAUUGAAUAGAUCUUUCAUAGUCUGGCACUUUUUAUGCUUUUAGAAUUUGGAGAAGUUAGUCUUUACUGAUGAAUAGAGAGCUAUUGUACUUUAGAAACUAUUGAGCAAACAUAAAAUUUUAAGAACAACUUAUUUUUAUCCUAUGGAUUUUCCUAUUAUAUUUAAAUUUGCUCUUUUAGUUUGUUUUUAGAGCUCCCCUCAAGAAACAUACUCUUUGUUUUUAACGCUCAAUCCUUUUUUAUUCUUUGUAGAAACUAGUGGUCUCCUAUUAAGUAAAUAGAUGUGGGUCUCAUUAGAGGGAUCCAUUCUAAAACAGAAGAGGACAACACUCAGGGAGGGCUGCAAUGAGACAGAGAAUCCUGAGAUUGUUCCUCAUGUGCAGAUCUUCACCUGGGGCUGCAGAAGACUGUACAGCUAUAGACAAAAUAAAGAUAAGGUACAGAUGUCAUGGAAAGCCAGAACAUAGGAGUGAAUCCAUCCUACAGUCUGAAGGCAGAAACAAGGCCAUAAAUGGGGUUGGGGGAGAAACCCUAUGGUAAGAAUCUGUAGAGAUGAAGAAAAAAUUGUAGGAUUUAAGGUAGGUUAGGAACUGGCAGUUCAGAGCAAUGCCAGGGUAUUAGAAACUCACUCUAGUGUCAUCUAAGUUUCCCAAUAUAGGAUUGAGUGGACCUCAUCAUAUUAGCCACAUUCAAGGAAUAUAUGUAUGUUAUAGAAGUCGAUGGUUACAUUAAAAUAUUAAGUUUGAACACAAGUUCUAAUUUAUUUUUAUCAUUAUUUCUUAAUAGCAAUUAAUUCUUUGGGGCUUCAAUUACUGACUGUAUUCCAAACGGUUACCAACAGUUCACUUCCUUAAUUGCAGAACUUAUACCAUUUCCAAAUAACCAAUGUAAAUUUUUACCUCGGAUAUUAUUUUGUUACCCGCAAACAACAAAUGUGAAUUUAGAUUUAUCAUCUUCCUCUGGGACUGAAUUUCCCCUGUAAUAUUGUUUUUUGUUGAUUUGUUUGUUUUGUAGUGGCAUCCCCAGCCCCUAUGUACCUAUGUUUGAUUUAUCUUUUAUUUCCUUCUUUUAUACUUAAACCUUAAGGUGGGUUGGAAAGUUGAUAUCAGUGACACAAAGUUUAGUUGAUUGGGUACUUUACAUUUCUACUUGACUUUGUACAUUUCUGAUUUAUAUGAACAACAAGCAACUCAGACUAAGCCUCCUUCAUUGCCCUAAGAGGUCUAUUAUAUUUCUAGUGAUUUUACCUAGGGGAUCUAUACAUGUACUAACAGUAGAAAUUAGAGGUGCAACACUACUGGCCAGAAUAUAGCAACAUCCUAAGUACAUUAAUAAUGUGUAAAGUGCCCAGCAUGUAAGGCACAAAUAAAAAUAGGGAAUGUCAUUUUAUUAAAUUAUCAGAAGUUAUGGGUCACAUUCAAACAGAAAUAUUCUAAGAAAUUCAAUUCUAAGAAAUUCAACUUACUUUUAAUGUCAAUGUUUCUGAAAUUGGUAAACAUCAUUGACGUCAAAAAGCCUUCUAUGCAUGAAAUAAAUUAUACUUGUCAUUUCUGAGCUUAUAGUAACAUGGUCAAGAAUUAAAGGUAUAUUCAUCUGACUUCUGGUUUAUCAGGCUGCUAUUUGAGAAGGGUUAUUUGCCUUAGUACCAUCAGCAGUGGUUGAAUUUUAUAUUUGGAUCUGCAUUUGUCAUUUAAAAUGUCCACAAAAAGAUAACCCCCUUAAGGAGCAUUAGAACUAGAAGUUACUGUGAACCUAGAUGAUCGCCUGUUUUUUGCCAUCUAGCAUAAUGAAGGUCGUAGUAUUGCCAAAGUUUUUGGAAUUCACUGUAGAUUUUUCAAAACUAGAUAAAAACUCUGACCAAUUUUUGAGUCCUGGGGGACUAUCACUUCAGCCAUAAACACAAACAAGUUAACUAGAAUUUAAUGAAAUAGUAAAUGGAGAAAAAAACUCUAGAAUUAUCCGAUUUGUUUCUAAAUUAUACUGUUGCUCCUAAAAAUGUUAAGAAAUUAGGAUCGUGAGCACUGUUAGUCACUAUGAUGAUAUGCUUACCCACUGAUGGUCAAAAUUUAUCAGAAGAAUUUUUAGACUUGGACUGUGUCAUGGCUUAGAUGCUGAUACUGAUGAAUAAAGUGACAUGCAAUUUUAUGGAUAAAUGAAUGUUACUGUUAAGUAGUUUUUAAAUAUGUACAUUUUAAUAUAAUGUAUUUCCUCAAAAUGCUAUUCUUAAUUUGAUGAUAUGCCUUGAAAAUCAAUACUGUUUUAGGAUGAAGGAAAUGUGGUAAAUUAAUGGUGUCAUUAGAAGAAUGGAGUUUGCCAUAGAACCUCAUUUGCUUUACUCUUAGGAUAUAACUUUUAAAUUUAUUCUUAUUUGAAUUUUCUUAUCUUCCAUACUGAACAGGAAGCUUAUUGAAUGAACAAACCAUGAGUACAAUUAGCAUAUACCUAAAUUGAUUUGCAAUGAAAAGGUGCUUCAUAAAUUCUUGUUUGCCUGAAGAAAUUAGGAGGCAAAGGAGCGUCAAAACAAAGGAGAAAAUAAGAAUUAAAGUGAGAUGCUAUAUCAGAGGCCACAGAAAGAUGCUGGUCUGCCUAAUCUGACUUUCUGACACUGAGAGGCAAACCUCCAAAAUUUCCACCUAUCUAUAUAUAUUCAUUCACUCACUCACCCAGUGUGUAUACAUUAGGAAGUCAUUGCUUUGUAUUAACCCUUGGUUUUGAAAAAGAAUGCAAAAUUAAAUGAAGAAUAAUCUCUGUUUAAAAGGGAGGGUUUGUUUGACAGGCAUAUGUAUAAACACUGGAAAUUAUGAGAGUAAAGAGGGUUUCCAAUUUUCCACAUACAGAAAGAGUACUAAAAAAUGCUGGUGUGUUCAGAGUAAUGGCAAACUUAAUUUAAUUUCAUGCCUUCAAGCAAUAUUAUUUAUUGAGAAUUUUAACACAAAGCAAUCUUUUGUAUAUCACGGAUACCCAGAAAGAAUAAAUAUUGUGGUACUAAUUCCUACACUUUGAUUUAUUAGUCUUUAGUUUAUUUGAAUGUCAUGUCACAGAGUACAGCUAAUAAAAGUAUGAACAUUUGUCUUUGAGCAAGUUUGAUCUGAGGUGAGUAACAUUAAACAAUAGCCUAUUGACAAACAAUUAAACACCACUUCUUUUCUUAGGAGUGUUUUGAAUUACACUUGUUCUAACUAGUGGCAGCAUCUUUUGUGUUUAGAAUUCCAAUAUAAUCUUAGAUGAGAAGAAUCUUUUAAUUAUAUUUUCAAUAGAAUUGGCCAAGACCCACUGCUCACCAUCUUGACUCUUUGUCUUCAUUGAUUUGGACCAAAACAAAACAAAGAUAAAUAGCAAAAUUCAUUAUCAAUGUUUAUUUCAACUGUCUAUUGUCAUUUCCUCAGGGUAUACAACACAGUUUUCCGCAGACAGAAUGCUGUGUUUCUUACUUUUAGCUUUAGAGCUAUCUAUUCAACAAUUCUGUGUCAUGGAAGAACCUAGCUGAGGCAAAAAAAAAAAAAAAAA